rnacentral:lncRNA from 1 species
AUGUAAAGCCACCUUUCCACCCCAAACCACCGCAUCACAAGCCACCCCAUGUCAAACCACCGCACAAGCCCCCGUAUGUUCCUAAACCACCUUAUUCCCCAAGCCCUAAACCGCCUUACGUGCCAAAACCACCUCAUACUCCAGUCCCUAGGCCACCAUAUUUCCCCAAACCACCUUACACACCAAGGCCUAAGCCACCAUAUGCGCCAAAACCACCUUAUACGCCAACCCCUAAGCCACCAUAUUUCCCCAAACCACCUUACACACCAAGGCCGAAGCCACCAUAUGUGCCAAAACCACCUUAUACGCCAGCCCCUAAGCCACCAUAUUUUCCCAAACCACCUUACACACCAAGGCCUAAGCCACCAUAUGCACCAAAACCACCUUAUACGCCAACACCUAAGCCACCAUAUUUCCCCAAACCACCUUACACACCAAGGCCUAAGCCACCGUACGUGCCAAAACCACCGUACACACCAAGGCCUAAGCCACCGUACGUGCCAAAACCACCAUACACACCAACCCCUAAGCCACCGUACGUGCCAAAACCACCUUACACCCCAACCCCUAAGCCACCGUACGUGCCAAAACCACCGUAUACCCCAACUCCUAAGCCACCGUACGUCCCAUCGCCACCUUAUACCCCUCGCCCUAAACCACCGUAUGUACCAUCACCACCUUAUACCCCUAGCCCUAAACCACCGUAUGUGCCAUCACCACCAUAUACCCCAAGCCCUACCCCACCAUAUGUACCAUCACCACCGUAUACCCCAAGCCCACCAUAUGUACCAUCACCAC